GAAUAGAUAAAAAUUGUUCUUGAAUCUGGUGAAAAUAAUUCUUAAAUAGUCGACCACAGUUAUUGUUCAUUACUCGUCAAACAGAGAUUAGGAUUUGAAUUAUACAACGAAAUGUUUCACAAUGAACGGGUAAGGCUCGAAUAAAUUACUGUAUGCUAGACCACCUAAUUACCAAUUACCAAACAAAAUAAAAUAUUAAACGUUCCUGUUGAAUAUUUUCAAGAAUAACGAAACAAAUCUAUAAGAUUUUUUAUCCUUUAUUUAACACGGCCGAGUUCUCGCACGCAGUCCUUGAUACUGACACGCGUUUAAUUCACCACGCUAAUGAGACCCUGUGAAGGUCUUCUUUCGCAACGACCUAAUUAGAGGAGAUAAUUAAUUAAGUAGCCUGUUUCGCUGCGCUAUCAUGCGCGAACAGUACAACUUCAUUUGGCCUGAUCUGUCAGAAAAACAACCAAGUUCCCACGGGCGCAUUAUUUUAAUCGCGCAACGCGAGUCGAUUUUCGAACCGUCGAAUAAAGUUGAAUUGUAUCCGCGCGAAUCGUUGAAUCCUCGAGUCUAUUGCGCCAUACGUCGACUUUGCUGCGUGUUGGUUUAAAAAAAGAAAAAUCAAUUUUACAUCAACAUUUCCUACGUAUCGGGUGCCCCGUUUGAAAAGAAAAUCAUUAUACCAGAAUUAAUCGUGGCGAGUUUAUGACUAUUGAUGAACUCCGUAAUCGUUAUUCGUGCGUCUAGGGACGUGUUAACGAACGCGUCCGUUACGGAUUUUCGUCGCUGUUUUCACUGCUCUCUUCGGCGCGGUAAGUUACUUCGAUUGGCCGUUAUACUUUCGUUCCGAGAAUUGCUCGAUUUUGUAAUCUUAUUUUUAAGCGUAGGGAUACCUAGGUAGAAAAUUGGAAACGCGAUCGAAAUUCAACGUAUCUUCGGGAGAUAUUUUCGAUUCCAUAAAUAACAUUCUAUCUGCUACUUUUAUCACCUCGAGAAAAAGAGACAAAAUUCGACCUCGAUAUAUAAUUUCAUGCGAAUCGUUUAUCCGAAACAAAGAGGCCUUAUCGCGUAGGUCUAACGCUAUCUACUUUAUCUAUAAUAUAUUUAAAUAUCAGGUCGCGGGGUCAAAUGCGUGCUGAGAUAUCAUGCACACGGUGUAGCAAUGUGUUGUCCCGAGAGAAAAUAGUCCAAAGCUUCAAGACACAAUUCUGAAGUGAAUCCAGGUUUCAAAACGAUCCCUCUAUCGGAUCUCAAUCCUCACUCAGAAAAUAAACUAAAUUUUUUCAACAGAAAUAAAAGGGAGAUUUCCCGAAU